rnacentral:rRNA from 1 species
AUGAACGCUGGCGGCGUGCUUAACACAUGCAAGUCGAACGGUGAAGGCGGAGCUUGCUCUGCUGGAUCAGUGGCGAACGGGUGAGUAACACGUGAGCAAUCUGCCCCUGACUCUGGGAUAAGCGCUGGAAACGGCGUCUAAUACUGGAUACGAGCUGCGAAGGCAUCUUCAGCAGCUGGAAAGAACUUCGGUCAGGGAUGAGCUCGCGGCCUAUCAGCUUGUUGGUGAGGUAACGGCUCACCAAGGCGUCGACGGGUAGCCGGCCUGAGAGGGUGACCGGCCACGCUGGGACUGAGACACGGCCCAGACUCCUACGGGAGGCAGCAGUGGGGAAUAUUGCACAAUGGGCGAAAGCCUGAUGCAGCAACGCCGCGUGAGGGACGACGGCCUUCGGGUUGUAAACCUCUUUUAGCAGGGAAGAAGCGAAAGUGACGGUACCUGCAGAAAAAGCGCCGGCUAACUACGUG